GCCUUCUAUUUUUUUCCCAUAGCAGUUUUUACAUCCUGACCAAACCUUCCUGUGUAAGAGGAUAAUAUAUGUGUGUCUGCAAGGACACCAGGGGCAUAACCUAACAAAUGUGUGGGGUCAAUUGGUUUCCCAAAGGGACUCUACUGAGAAGCUGGCUCACCAAGUCACGGCCCAGAUUGCUGCUCCUUAUUGCUGGGUUAAAGAGACCCCAGGUGACCCUUAUGAGGAGGAAAAGGAUGAAGCGCACAAAAGUAGCAAAGUCCACGUAAGGGAACCUGCAUCAGAGUGUCCCACUUCAGCUGACUUCAAGACUGUUUGAAGUUUCUCAUGGAAGAAAAAGUAAAGAACAACCUUUCUGUAGCAUAAAUGGUCCAAGAAGAACUACAUGCAAGAAAUGCUAAACAAAAGGAAGACAAAAAUGAACUGAAAUACACAGAGGUCGUUAUACUAAUUUAGAAAACAUUCUUAGACUCAUUGGUCACUUUACUCACCUUGACUUUGUACAUCUUUCCUAUAGAUGUGUUGCUAGACCAAGCCACUGUCUUCUUUCUAGUUAAACUAUAUCUAGUUUAAGUCGUUAAACAGCCCAAACAAGCAACUGCCUAAACUCUGUAUGAUUAAGCCCACUACUGUCUUACAUUCUCAUGUCAAAGCUUUUCAAUUAGCCUAUCUGAUUUUAGGAUAAUACUUUGCAUACCAGUCACUAUUACUGCAACUACUACCACUUCUGUUACUGCAACCACUACCGAUCCUACUUUCACUACAAAUAAUAAUUAUGAUGAUAAUAGAUAUGAAUAUAUAUAAUCAUAUAUAUUGCCUUAUAUAUUAUUAUUAUAAUAAUAGGUAA